GAGAGAAUUUUAGGUGGUUUGGCAGUGUGCUUAUAUGUACAGAUAAGCAUCUACUGUUUUUAACUAUAAAGGAGAUGGUUUUACAAGUGCCUAGUUAUAGAGAUACUAGUAUACUACGGUUUUUCUUUUACCAGUAAGAAUAAGAAAAACUUAUAAUUAUAAAAAUAAAACCCCAUGAUUAAAACUGCGUUAUGCUAAUAACACUGUAUCACUCCCUCCCACCUAUCUGCUGAUGGGCCAUACAAAAUGUUGGAUAUUAUUCACAAGCAAGUUUUGCAAGGAGGGGUGCCCCCUUUACCUUGGAGCCUUUAUAGUUUAGUCAGUGUUAUCAAGGCGAA
rnacentral:misc_RNA from 1 species